GUAGGUGGCAAGCGUUGUCCGGAAUUAUUGGGCGUAAAGCGCGCGCAGGUGGUUCUUUAAGUCUGAUGUGAAAGCCCCCGGGCUCAACCGGGGAGGGUCAUUGGAAACUGGGGAACUUGAGUGCAGGAGAGGAAAGUGGAAUUCCACGUGUAGCGGUGAAAUGCGUAGAUAUGUGGAGGAACACCAGUGGCGAAGGCGACUUUCUGGCCUGUAACUGACACUGAGGCGCGAAAGCGUGGGGAGCAAACAGGAUUAGAUACCCUGGUAGUCCACGCCGUAAACGAUGAGUGCUAAGUGUUGGGGGGUUUCCGCCCCUCAGUGCUGCAGCUAACGCAUUAGGCACUCCGCCUGGGGAGUACGGUCGCAAAGACUG
rnacentral:rRNA from 1 species